GAUGAACGCUGGCGGCGUGCCUAAUACAUGCAAGUCGAGCGAACAGAUAAGGAGCUUGCUCCUUUGAAGUUAGCGGCGGACGGGUGAGUAACACGUGGGUAACCUACCUAUAAGACUGGGAUAACUUCGGGAAACCGGAGCUAAUACCGGAUAACAUUUAGAACCGCAUGGUUCUAAAGUGAAAGAUGGUUUUGCUAUCACUUAUAGAUGGACCCGCGCCGUAUUAGCUAGUUGGUAAGGUAACGGCUUACCAAGGCGACGAUACGUAGCCGACCUGAGAGGGUGAUCGGCCACACUGGAACUGAGACACGGUCCAGACUCCUACGGGAGGCUGCAGUAGGGAAUCUUCCGCAAAGGGCGAAAGCCUGACGGAGCAACGCCGCGUGAGUGAUGAAGGGUUUCGGCUCGUAAAACUCUGUUAUUAGGGAAGAACAAAUGUGUAAGUAACUGUGCACAUCUUGACGGUACCUAAUCAGAAAGCCACGGCUAACUACGUG
rnacentral:rRNA from 1 species